rnacentral:lncRNA from 1 species
AAAAAAACAAACAAAAACAAACCAUGUGGUUUGUGGUUCCCUGGUAGUCUAGUGGCUAAAGUUUGGCGCUUUCACCGCCGGGAAAAGGUUGAUUCCAGAUCAGGGUACGGGGUCUUGGCCUCACUGUGUGGUAUUGUUCUUUCCUGUGUUUGCCAUCUACCACCGCUGUGGCUCAAUUAUUCCAAGACUGCUGGAGAAAUGGGAGUUAAUGUCGAUCCUAAAAUUUAAGCUAUUUAUCUAGGAUAAACUCCAAAUAGUGGAACUGCUAGGUGAAAUGUAGUGUGAAUUUAAGAUUCCGAUGUCUACAGCCCACCAACGUAUAAGCACCAAUUACAUGCCCCAAAGUGUGAGACUGCAUCUUCUCUGCAGCAUUUAAAACCAACUCUAGAAAUGAUCAAUCUUUUAGAGAUAAUUUUAAGCUAUAUUUAUCAUCAAAGGAUUUCUUUAUAGUCAAUUUUCCCUUAGACUAUAAAUCCACAAGAGAUGGCAAAGCUGGAAGAACUUCCCAGAAUUUCAGUAAACUUGAAUUCAAUAGUCUCUCUGUUCUCUCCUGUUUUGGCAUCUACUCUUUUCUUCCAGGUGUGUGCGUGCUGUUGUGUUGAUCCCUCUCGUCUCUCAGAAAACUCAUUGUAGGCCCAAGUCGAUGAAGGGACGGACUGUGAAAGAAUGGAUGCGGAGCGUGGACUGACUAUGUAGUGCCCACUGAAUCGAAAAUGUUGCUAAAAUUGCUUUUCUGCGAUUGUCUAACAUUCCUCUGAGUCACCUCGUCUGCUGCUUAAAAACCCAAAAGCAUUUUCUUCACUGUCUUGUAGCCAUUGUUAUAAACUCCACUCUGCUCCUCCUAUGUCAACUACCACAGUCUGUUUCAUUGCAUGGCCCUAAAGGCAGAGCCAUGUUUCCAACUUUAAGUGCACUAAGGGUAUCCCCAGUGGAUGUUAAUGGUUCUCUUAGGGUUUUUUUGUUUUUUGGUUUUUUUGACAUAUAAGUCCAUAAUUGGAGGAAUGUGAAAAAUAUUUUUUCCUCCGGAAG